CCUGGAAAUAUCUACAAGACAGAAAUGCUCCCUAAGUCCAGAGGAAUUCAGGAGUGACCCAACCUCUUCUCCUUGAAAGAUUCCUAGCCAGCCUUAUUUCCUCCACAGGCCUGGUCUAGGGGCAGCAAAGAAGCCUUUGGCCAAGAUCAGAAUCCUGCCUAGGCCUCGAGGCUGGCAUCUUCACUGCUACAGCAAGAUCGUGACUGUCAGUCAUGUAGUACUGAAUGCGUGUUACUUGGGAGUGGCUAGAAGAACCAGAGGCCUCAUUUUUCACUAGAGUUGAGAGAAGAUGGGUGAGGAUAAAGAUCCAUUCAAUAUAACAGAUACUGGACACCGAAGAUGUGCCCCUCCGUGUCAAGGGACAGGCAUGCAAUAGGGCAAGCCUAACCAUUCCCUUCUUCCAGGACAAAUGGUGGGAAUACCUCCAAAGUUCAGCGAGUAGGAAUCCAACUAUGUGAAAAUGAAGAGUCAGACCAAGAGUUCAUUCAACCACGAGUACUGCACGGUGUUCUUCAGUCAAAACUUGAAUGUAAAGAUGACUCGUUUGUUCCUCUCUUGUCGUAUGUGUCUCAGAAGAACAGGAGUGAGCAUGGGGCUGCUUCUGGAGACUGGUCAUCUUCGGGGACACCGGACUUAGCAUCCGGAGUUCUGAGCUCUUGGUCUUCCUCUGCAGAGUGAUCCAGAAGAAAAGUAACAUGAAACACGGGACUUCCAGGGAUGAGAACUAUUGUCUAAAAUCAGCACUGGUCACUUCACACACGUGGGACCUGUGUACCACGGAAGGCCAAGCUGGUAUGGAUAUUCCACAGUCGCUGACCUGAAACUGAGGAUGACUUUUGGAUAAUGGGUCCAUGCUUCCAUAUAGCACUGGGCCCUAAAAUUCAAGUGACUGGACGUGCAUAGAUUGGGCAGAUUUCCUGAAGGUUUUACCAGGGUUGUUCCGGCUCUGGAGGGGCUAUGGCUUACAGAGCCUCUAUUCAUUCAACAAUAAUAAUGAAGAUUGCAGCCGUCAUUGGUCCAGUGUCUACCAGAGGGUGGACACCACACAGAUGAGAACUUCAUAAGCAAAUUCCUUAUCCCUAAGAAGAUACUCCAAAUCUUAUGUCAAAGUUUCAGAUAAUGGUACCGACCUUCAUCGUUAACUCACCUGUGAUCACACAGACAGACUCUGAGUCCAGCGUUGUAUCACUCCUAAACCUUUCUAUGAGGCACUGACAUGGAGUGCUGUCUCUGUCUUCAGGGGUUACACACACUGCUAACAAUGAUCGCAAAUGCAUGCAUGACAACCACAGUGUGCCAGAUGAUAUUCUAAGCAACAUACAUAUGCAUGCAACAUGUAUAUGCAUGUAAUAUAUAUGUUCAUUUAUA